rnacentral:rRNA from 1 species
UAGCAUAUCAAUAAGCGGAGGAAAAGAAACCAACAGGGAUUGCCCCAGUAACGGCGAGUGAAGCGGCAACAGCUCAAAUUUGAAAUCUGGCCCCCGGGUCCGAGUUGUAAUUUGUAGAGGAUGCUUUUGGCGAGGUGCCUUCCGAGUUCCCUGGAACGGGACGCCAUAGAGGGUGAGAGCCCCGUCUGGUCGGACACCGAGCCUCUGUAAAGCUCCUUCGACGAGUCGAGUAGUUUGGGAAUGCUGCUCAAAAUGGGAGGUAUAUGUCUUCUAAAGCUAAAUAUUGGCCAGAGACCGAUAGCGCACAAGUAGAGUGAUCGAAAGAUGAAAAGCACUUUGAAAAGAGGGUUAAAAAGUACGUGAAAUUGUUGAAAGGGAAGCGCCUAUGACCAGACUUGGGCCCGGUGAAUCAUCCAGCGUUCUCGCUGGUGCACUUUGCCGGGCACAGGCCAGCAUCAGUUUGGCGCGGGGGAGAAAGGCUCUGGGAAUGUGGCUCCUCCGGGAGUGUUAUAGCCCACUGCGUAAUACCCUGCGCCGGACUGAGGUACGCGCAUUGCAAGGAUGCUGGCGUAAUGGUCAUCAGCGACCCGUCUUGAAACACGGACCAAGGAGUCGUCUUCGUAUGCGAGUGUUCGGGUGUCAAACCCCUACGCGUAAUGAAAGUGAACGCAGGUGAGAGCUUCGGCGCAUCAUCGACCGAUCCUGAUGUUCUCGGAUGGAUUUGAGUAAGAGCAUACGGGGCCGGACCCGAAAGAAGGUGAACUAUGCCUGUAUAGGGUGAAGCCAGAGGAAACUCUGGUGGAGGCUCGCAGCGGUUCUGACGUGCGAAUCGAUCGUCAAAUAUGGGCAUGGGGGCGAAAGACUAAUCGAACCUUCUAGUAGCUGGUUUCCGCCGAGUC